AAAUCAAUAUAUGCUCAGCAUACCCCCCAACAUUUACAUCUUAAAUACCAUAUAAUUGUUUCGUCGGACAAUCUCCCCUGAAUACAUAUUAUUUUAUUACUUAAAGUAUUUUGAUACAAUAUUUGCCAAAUUAUUCAUCAUCCUACAAUCAUAGAAAGUAAAUAUAAGAGUAUAUUAUUAGUUACAAUCGAAGAAAUUAAGAGUGGAAGACAAUCUAGAUACUAUUAUUUAUUUCAUAUUGCAAUUUUAAUAUUAUCUUCAUCGUCUUCCACUCUCAUAACACAAAUACAAGUAUUAACUGACUUAUUAUAUGGUAUAUUUUAUCUUAAACGAAGUUUCAUAGAUCUUUUUCUAGUGCCAUAAAUCAUUUUCCCCUAUAAUUUUCUUUUGCACUCUCUUGGGUCUUGUUCUCCAAGGACGUGCAGAUCCAGAUGGAGGAAUACAGUUACAC
rnacentral:lncRNA from 1 species